rnacentral:rRNA from 1 species
GUUCUAACCGGCCGGAAUGACUUUCAGUUUGAAUUCCCGAAACUAAGUGAGCUACUUCGAAACAGUUUUAUGAACGAACCCGUCUCUGUCGCAAAAGAGUGGGAUGAUUUCCAAGUAGGGGCGACAAACCUACCGCACCUAGAGAUAGCUGGUUACUCAAGAAAAGAAUUUAAGUUCAACCUAAAGUUUCUUAAUUAUACAAAACAAAGCACAAAACUUUAGAGCUACUCAAGUAAGGCACAGCUUACUUGAAUCAGGACACAACCUAUGAUACAGGGUAAUACUCACAAACAAGUAACCAGUGGGCCUGAGAGCAGCCAUCUACAAAAAGCGUUAAAGCUUAAUACUUAUCAUACACUAAUAUCAUCACCACCCAUGAACCCUUCACCAAUAUUGAGUAACUCCAUAAACCUAUGGAAAUUAUUAUGCUAGAACUAGUAACAAGAAAUAGAUUUUUCUCCUAAAUGUAAGCCCAAGCCACAAUAGACAAACUACCGGCAAUUAACGCAAAUGAAAGUACUAUAGCAACCCUAACAAGAAAACCCUAUACCUGCACAACGUUACCCUCACACCAGAACAUUUAAGGAAAGAUUAAAAGAAAGAGAAGGAACUCGGCAAACCUAAACCCCGCCUGUUUACCAAAAACAUCGCCUCUUGAUAAAACAUAAGAGGUCCAGCCUGCCCAGUGACAAAGUUCAACGGCCACGGUAUCCUGACCGUGCGAAGGUAGCAUAAUCACUUGUUCUUUAAAUGGGGACUUGUAUCAACGGCAUCACGAGGGUUCUACUGUCUCCUCUUUCUAAUCAGUGAAACUAAUCUCCCCGUGAAGAAGCGGGGAUAUUAAUAUAAGACGAGAAGACCCCAUGGAGCUUCAAACCCAAUUACACACACCCCACAACCACCCAUAACCAUCCAACCCCUCGGCCACGUGUAAUUAGUUUUCGGUUGGGGCGACCACGGAGUACAAUUAAACCUCCAUGAUGAACGGAAUUACUCCUUAUCUAAGAGCCACAGCUCUAAGAAAUAGAAUACUAACAUAAAAUGAUCCACUGUAUGAUCAACGAACCAAGUUACCCUGGGGAUAACAGCGCAAUCCAUUUCAAGAGCCCCUAUCGACAAAUGGGUUUACGACCUCGAUGUUGGAUCAGGAUAUCCCAGUGGUGUAGCA